rfam:Parcubacteria (Thrbacteria) bacterium GW2011_GWC2_53_7 TY82_C0043, whole genome shotgun sequence.
GGCUGGGUAGCUCAGUUGGUUAGAGCGUGGGACUCAUAAGCCCAAGGUCGAGGGUUCGACUCCCUCCCCAGCUA